rnacentral:lncRNA from 1 species
CACCAGACUACUGUAUUCCUUCCAAAGGGAAUGCACAUAUUGAAUAGAUUACUAAGGAGGAUCCUCGAAGUUGGCAGAGUCAAUUCAUUCAAGAGAUAGCAGCAGAGGACUGGAGAAGAUGAUGGCCAGAGCAGAAAGGGAAACCAGCGCAAAAACUAAUAAGGGGAAAGAAAAAGACUCACAGCAUCACUAGAAAAGGAGGAAAACUUCUUUUCCAGGAGAGAGCAACAAAAAUUCCAACAUAAGGUAACCAGAAGGAAAUUGCUCUGUCAAACAACAAGAGUGAAAUCUGGUCCAGCAUCCUGGUCUUCUCCAGGAAUGUCCAGGAGCUCAACUAUGUCAUCAAGAAUAAGAUUGUUUUCUGCUCUCUGUUUUACACAGGACUAGGCUCAAAUCCAAAAUGAUUCCCCUCAAGGUCAUAAGCACAGAGCUCAAGUCUUAGAAAACAAGGGGCAAUUUUCUGAACUGACUUGAUGUUUUCUUGUGUGUGACCUGACAAAUGUGAGUGCCUUACUUGAUGAUCUGAGGGAACAGGCCCCUUAUCUUCACAGACAGAGCAAUCACUCAAUUCUAGAAGGAAGCCAGGGAAAGAAGGAAGACAACAAUCCAUUGAGCCUUGGUUUCCUCAUCUGUAAAGUAGAAUACUACUAUCUAUACUGCACAGGAACAGGAGCCGACUUGAACAAGCUUAAGCAAAAUAGAAGAUUUACUGACAGGAUAUUGAAAGAGUUCUGGAACUCAUCAUCAAUGUGUUACAUAAGAACCUGGAACCAUAAACUAGAUCGCCACUGGAAACCCAAGUGAAUUGUGAAUUGUUUUCUCCAUCUCUAAUUUUCAUUUUUUUCCCCUGGAGAUCACCUUCAUCAUUCUCUCUGUCCCAAUUUUGUUCUGUCUUUCCCACGUGUACAUUUUGGAAAAAGAUCACCCAACAAAUAGUUGUCUUCUCUUCCGUGAAGGAAAAUAGCUCAGACUAACUGGCUGUUUGUAAACUCCAGUGCCCUAAUCCUGGAAGGCAGAAUUUGAUUGCUUCACUUUGGGUUGGGUCUCUGCCUGCCCAUCAAUCAACUCUGGUCAGGGUACGGGGUCCCACAGCACACACAUGGCUGCCACAGUUAACCCACGUCUUAGAGAAGUAGUGUUGUUUUGGGGUUGAGCAGACACUCUAAUUAGUGAUCACUGCUUUCACACACAAACUCAUUAAGGUAAUCCCCCUCAGGGUCAUCUGGGGGUGCGCAUGCCCUUGAAUGUGGGCAAGACCUGUAAUUUUUUUUUCUUUUUUGAGAUGGAGUCUUGCUCUAUUGCCCAGGCUGGAGUGCAGUGGCACAAUCUCAGUUCACUGCAACCUCUGCCUCCCUGGUUCAAGCAAUUCCCCUGCCUCAGCCUCCCAAGUAGCUGGGAUUACAGGUGCGUGCCACCACACCCGGAUAUUUUUUUUUUUGUAUUUUUAGUAUAGAUGGGGUUUUACCAUGUUGGCCAGACUGGUCUCGAACUCCUGACCUCAGGCAAUCUGCCCGCCUUGGCCUCCCAAAGUGCUGGGAUUACAGGCAUGAGCCACCGUGCCCAGCUCUGUGAUUUUCUUUUAAUCAAAAGAGCAUGAAAAAGGGGACAAAAUGUAUGUGAUUACAUGUGUAUGAUUAUAUAAUAUAAGAUUGUAGCACCAGUCUUGCUGGGGUCUCUCCCCAACUUGCUUGCUUUGAUGUGCCAUGUGAUCAUGUUGGAAGACCCAUGUCAAGGAACUGAGGGUGGCCUCUGGUCAACAGCCAUAAAAAAUGGAAGUUCUCAGUUCUACAGCUUCAAGAAACUAAAUUCUCUCAACAACCUCAAUUAGUUAGAAAACAGAUUCUUCCCCAGUCAAGACUCAGAUGAGACCGUAGCCCCGGUCAACUCCUUGAAUGCAGUUUUAUGAGACUCUAGGCAGAGGACCCAGCUAAGUAGUUUCUGGACUUCUGACUUACAGAAAUUGUGAGAAAAUAAAUGUGUGCUGCUUUGAGUGGCUAAGUUUGUGGUAAUACUGUUACACAGCAAUAGAAAACUAAUAAAAUUCCACAAUACUUUUCAACUAAAAAUACUCUGAGAAGAUUCACAGGUUCUCAAUAAAACCUGUAUGGCAACUUCUGAAUCAAGGUCACACUGCUCUUGGUAGUCAAAGGAAAGUAUGGUAGCUAUACCCAACAGUAAGUU